CAUGCAGGCGGUUAUACAAGUAGGAUGUGAAAGCCUGGGGCUCAACCUCAGAACUGCAUUCUAAACUGUGUGACUAGAGUAUUGGCAGGGGGGAGACGGAAUUUCAGGUGUAGCGGUGGAAUGCGUAGAUAUCUGAAAGAACACCAAAGGCGAAGGCAGUCUCCUGGGCAAAUACUGACGCUCAUAUGCGAAAGCGUGGGUAGCAAACA
rnacentral:rRNA from 1 species